rnacentral:rRNA from 1 species
UGGGGAAUAUUGGGCAAUGGGGGAAACCCUGACCCAGCAACGCCGCGUGAAGGAAGAAGGCCUUCGGGUUGUAAACUUCUUUUACCAGGGACGGAGGACGUGACGGUACCUGGAGAAAAAGCAACGGCUAACUACGUGCCAGCAGCCGCGGUAAUACGUAGGUUGCGAGCGUUGUCCGGAUUUACUGGGUGUAAAGGGCGUGUAGGCGGAGAAAGCAAGUUGGGAGUGAAAUCUAUGGGCUCAACCCAUAAAACUGCUCUCAAAAACUGUUUCCCUUGAGUAUCGGAGAGGCAAGCGGAAUUCCUAGUGUAGCGGUGAAAUGCGUAGAUAUUAGGAGGAACACCAGUGGCGAAGGCGGCUUGCUGGACGACAACUGACGCUGAGGCGCGAAAGACGUGGGGAGCAAACAAGGAUUAGAUACCC